GUUGAAACUGUAACAACGAGAAAUGUCGGGAUGAAUACAUUUUCCGACUUAAUUCAAGGUGGAGGAGUUUUCAUUUCUGGGAAUGUCAAGUACUUUUGGCUUUAACUAACAGCCUUAGGAGAAAUCAUGAUGAAAAGUUUAUCUAAAAAUCUCACUUUUUUUAUGUAAUGAUGGAAAAUUUUCCAUUGAAUGUUUUAUUAAUUCAACGUAUCAAGAUGCUUGAGAUAACGGUAUGUGUCAACUUACUCAAAAAAAUCCAGCCGUCCGUGGGAAUGAGUCACAUUUAAAACGGUACUAGGACCUCCUACGUCAAUGACGCCUUGGAGAAUAAUCACCAGAGAUACGCCAAUCAUUGUUAGGCCUUGUAUCACAUCUGAAAGUAUAGCUGCUUUCAAGCCUCCCUGCAACAAAAUUCCAGAAAUACUUAUUAAUAAAAAUCUUUUUUUUUAAGUCACGAGGAAGUAAUGGAUUGGGAAGUUGUACUUUAAAUAAAUUUUUUCUGCUAAUUGUUAAUGAGGAAAUAAAAAAAAUAAUGAGUAUUAAAAUUAGUGAGUAUUGACGAUUAAAUGGUAAAGAUUCGAACAUUUUCAUAAUUAUCUCAGCUUCGUGGUACACCUAAUGAAGCUGCAAUAAUUCAGUAUUUUUCAUUAUUGUUGAGACAUUUUCGGCAUUUUUCGUCUUCAGAAAUUGGGGACUGAAAAUCUGUGUUUUUAUGGGAAAAUCAAGUAAAAUUAAGGAAUUUUUAGUGAGAAAUGAAAAAACGAUUUUUUUUUAUUUCUUACCGAAUGUUUGCUAAACUAACAGCAUAAACGUAUCCCAUAAUAAUAUAAACAUCGUCGUAAAAUAUAAGGAAUGAAUCAUCGCCGUUAAAAAUUCAGUGCAACGUUUUUGAAGCCUUCAUGGCGCUACCUAAAUUAAUGUAACAUACGUAUACAUAUGUAUCCAUUGUUUAAAAACAUUAGGACACGUUGAAAGAAUACUCAUAAAUUCUAAAAAUAUCCUAUCUUAAUGUGUUAUUUAAUAUUUUUUAUCUUCUAGUCAAAACUCAAGACCAAGUGAGAGAUAGAAUUCUAGUGCCUCGGGCUGACAACACUCGUGGGACAUGUUCUAACAAAAAAAGUCUUUGGUUCUGGGUCUUUUUGAUGUCCAUAUUCUGUAUCCAGUAUGGAGAUUAUUUUUGAAGUGAGAAUACGUCUGAGUCAAAAUCCAGGGUAGUUAUUUGUUGGAAGCUAGAGGUGUGUUGUUUACUCUUCUUAAUGCUAAUCACUCGUUCCCGAAUUUGGGAGCGACAAAGUUGGUAUGUCAUGUUGGCGCCGCACUAUGAACUUUUCAAUUCGCCUAUUCCACAUAGGAAUACAAUAAAAAUCGUUAGAAAAGAAUGUCAUCAAAAUAAUAAUAUUGUACUCUAUGAAAACAGAAAUUGAUUUCACCAGCAAAAUCGAAGUUUAAACAUUUGAAUUGUCGUAAAUAAAUAGACAAGAGUGCAUCCCACUAAAUCGUUGUCAGGUCCAUAAUCACCGAGCCCGGAACCACAGAUUCCAAAAAAAAUCAGAAUUCCCAUGAAUAAAAUGAAUUCAACAUACCAUAGACGAGAAGACAACCGAUAUUGUCGUAAUUCCAACGAUACUGGCCCAGUACGGCAGCCCAAUAACAGUAUUAAGUGCAACACAGGGUGUGAAGACAAUGACAGCAAGAUUAAGAAGACUCCGCAGCACAUAGGAGAAACUCGCCAGACACCUGACAAGUUUCGAGUGAAACCUGCACAGACAAAAUACCGUGCAAUGAAUCGUUGCAGAAAAACCACUUGUUUCCAAUUGCGGGCAUCAUGCAGAGACAGCGUGGCCGGGCAUUAUACGAAAACCUCUGACAAAACACAGUCGUUAUUUACGAUAGUAACCAUUCGAAGAAAAACACAGAUGAACCAUUGGCUGUGUCUGUGUAUAUGUUUAGCGAAUGGGAUAAGUAGAAGGAAAGAGAAUGAAAAGAAGUAAAAGAAAAUCAAUGUGUGCAUUAAAGUUGUGGUGUAGGAGACUCGUUUCACGUGGCUGUUUCAGCCUCAAUGACCUUUGGAUUCGACUGUCGCACUGACAAUUUGAGAAUCCACGACUGUUGGCAAGUAUCCAAAGUCAUCUGAUGGGACGAUUAUUGCUGUAACACAGGGGAAUGAGAAAAUAAACACGGAAUUAGCCCUUGAAAAUAAAUACCGUAAGUAACUCGAUUGUCAAAAACAAGUUGACAAGUACAUUUCUUUAAUGAAGAAGUUUAUUAGGGAGCCUAUGAACUAAUAAUUUUUAAAAAGGUGCAGAAGUGUAGUGCAGUCAAAGCGAUUGGCAAUAAAUUUUAAUUAUCGCGAAUUGGUUCAUUCACGUUAUCUGUAGUGCAAGGCCCAGGUUUGUAUUCACUAUCGCUACAAACGUAACAUUCAAAUUAGACACCCGGAAGUAUUGUCAGUUUUAUGUCAUGCAACUGUGUCAGUUCUUCAAGCAAAUUGCAGGGUUAUGCUGUUCUUUUUUUUUCAUUAAUGAAUCACUAACACGAAAAAUGAAGAAAAUUAUGGUCAUCUAAGUACUGUAACCAUGUUUUACCAUUCAAAUUUUGCAGGUUUAGAUUUAAAUCUUCAGGUUGGUUCGUGAAAAUACAUUUCGAAGCUUGGAGGAAAGUGCAAAUGGUACUUGCAAAGAAAGAUGUUGAUAUGAAUUAAAAUUUAAAAAAAUGAAUUCCGUGGGAGAGAUAAUAGGAUUUCCAAAAUUUAAACAUCAAUGCUUUUUAAAAAUAUUAGUAUUAUGUAAAAUAUCAUGAUAUUUCGAAAAAUGUCGUUAUAUAAUGUUAAUGACAAAAUGACUAAAAUUUUGGAGGCUGAAGAUCAUUUUUCAGAUAUUACAUAUUAUAUAUGAUAUAUACAUAUAUUAUUUGAACUAUCAAUGAAAUUUAAAUGUGAAAUUGUUAACCAAAAACGUAAAAAAUUGUUAACCAUGAACGUAGCGUAGCCCGAAUAAAGGAUAGAGCCCCUCCAAAUGUCGACGAUUACAAAGCCGCCAUUAGGGAGCAAAGGAAAUAAAAUGACGAGAGGAAAUGUUUGCUCCACUUCCAUAACACUAGAGGAACUUUGAAAAAGACAAGGGGGAUAUAAUCUUAUGAACGAGACAGAAGAAGUAGAGGGGUUUGAGAGGGGGAGGGGGGCUUUGAUGAUUCUCGUGAUAAUUGCCAGAGCAUAAUUAACAAGUGUCCGUACACUGGUUGUUAGCACUCGAGCAAACUUUGUGGUCUGGUGAGGAAGGAGGAGAAAAAAAAUUGUGAGCUGCAAAUCCUCGUGCAGAUGCAGCAGAACUCGUAAUCAACAGAGACCUUCAUAUUCUCUUUGCCCCUCAACGAAGAAUUAUCCGUAAUAAUUGCAGAUGUUUCCUAAAUACCGUGAAACUUAGUGUGGACUAAAUUAUUCCGUUUCCACUACAAAUUUUUGUUUAUCAAUGCAUCUUAAUACUGAUGAGAAUUAGGCUCACAUUACGAUGGGAGGACAUGAGUGAUAUUUACAGAGUAUACUUUUCUAAUUAACUGGAGUAGUUGAUUAAAUUGAUCACUUCAUUAAUUACCACUGGGAUUACAAUUGGAAAGAAGUGAUGUGAACCGUUCAAUUACGGGGAAGUAAUUAAUCGUAUCAUUUGAUCGCUGUUAUGAGUGCCUAUUUCCGUUUAACUAGUGAUUAAACGGCCGAGCAUUUCUUGUAAUUUUUGAUAGGGCGAGUGAACGGAAAAACCCCGGACGAAUAAUUAGUGUAGAAACCAUUAGAAUGGACAAUUUAUCUUGUGAGUCAUUUCAUUUCACCAGAGCCAGACAAAGAUAUUUCGAAGAACAUAUUAAACAUUUUCAUAUUCCUCAAGUAAUUAGCAGUUAGCAAGGAGACGUGGAUGGAUUAUCUGAACAAUAAAUGUAUUUUCAUGA